rnacentral:rRNA from 1 species
AGUGAACGCUGGCGGUAGGCCUAACACAUGCAAGUCGAACGGCAGCACAGUAAGAGCUUGCUCUUACGGGUGGCGAGUGGCGGACGGGUGAGGAAUACAUCGGAAUCUACUUUUUCGUGGGGGAUAACGUAGGGAAACUUACGCUAAUACCGCAUACGACCUACGGGUGAAAGCAGUGGAUCUUCGGACCUUUCGCGAUUGAAUGAGCCGAUGUCGGAUUAGCUAGUUGGCGGGGUAAAGGCCCACCAAGGCGACGAUCCGUAGCUGGUCUGAGAGGAUGAUCAGCCACACUGGAACUGAGACACGGUCCAGACUCCUACGGGAGGCAGCAGUGGGGAAUAUUGGACAAUGGGCGCAAGCCUGAUCCAGCCAUACCGCGUGGGUGAAGAAGGCCUUCGGAUUGUAAAGCCCUUUUGUUGGGAAAGAAAAGCAGCAGGUUAAUACCCCGAUGUUCUGACGGUACCCAAAGAAUAAGCAACGGCUAACUUCGUG